rnacentral:rRNA from 1 species
GUUUGAUCCUGGCUCAGGAUAAACGCUGGCGGCAUGCCUAAUACAUGCAAGUCGAACGGGGGUGCUUGCACCCCAGUGGCGAACGGGUGAGUAACACGUAUCUAACCUACCUCAUAGCGGGGGAUAACUUUUGGAAACGAAAGAUAAUACCGCAUGUGAAUCUUAUUAUCGCAUGAGAAAAGAUUGAAAGGACCGUUUGGUUCACUAUGAGAUGGGGAUGCGGCGUAUUAGUUAGUAGGUGAGGUAAUGGCUCACCUAGGCGAUGAUACGUAGCCGAACUGAGAGGUUGAUCGGCCACAUUGGGACUGAGAUACGGCCCAGACUCCUACGGGAGGCAGCAGUAGGGAAUUUUUCACAAUGGACGAAAGUCUGAUGAAGCAAUGCCGCGUGAGUAAUGACGGCCUUCGGGUUGUAAAGCUCUGUUGUAAGGGAAGAAAAAAUAGAGUAGGAAAUGCCUCUAUAUUGACGGUACCUUACCAGAAAGCCACGGCUAACUAUGUGCCAGCAGCCGCGGUAAUACAUAGGUGGCAAGCGUUAUCCGGAUUUAUUGGGCGUAUAGGGUGCGUAGGCGGUUUUGCAAGUUUGAGGUUAAAGCCCGGAGCUCAACUCCGGUCCGCCUUGAAAACUGCAUUACUAGAAUGCAAGAGAGGUAAGUGGAAUUCCAUGUGUAGCGGUGAAAUGCGUAGAUAUAUGGAAGAACACCUGUGGCGAAAGCGGCUUACUGGCUUGUUAUUGACGCUGAGGCACGAAAGCGUGGGGAGCAAAUAGGAUUAGAUACCCUAGUAGUCCACGCCGUAAACGAUGAGUACUAGGUGUUGGGGUUAUCUCAGCGCCGCAGCUAACGCAUUAAGUACUCCGCCUGAGUAGUAUGCUCGCAAGAGUGAAACUCAAAGGAAUUGACGGGGGC